UCAAUACUAAUCCAAUUUAUUCAUAAUUUAUAUCCACAUGAAGCUAACCGAAAGAUCUAGACUACCAUAAAAUUUCAUAAUUUUAUCUUAGGGAUUACCCGAUGAGACAUGCAAUACAAUCAGAAGCUACGAAACUGAAAUUCAAGUAGUGUUCAUAAAGAACUUUAACUUCUAAAGCCCAAAAUUAAUACCACUAACAUAUAAUUCAUUAAAACCCAUAUAAUUUAUAUUAAUUAGGUUAUUAUUUCAGUAAAGACCAAGGUCCUUACCCAAG
rnacentral:lncRNA from 1 species